GACAAGACUGGAGAGGUGAUCGGUGUACAGACACAAUCUAUUGUCUGUUGUGGACAGAUAGUGAGGCUCUCUGAUUGACGCCUGCCUGAUUGCUUGCUUUGUACUGACAAUCUCGCUGUUCACACACAAGCACGGAUCAUCUCGUCUCGAGUUCAACACAUCUAGUACACAGCUAGUAAACAGCUCUCGGAAUUAAGGUCAGACACCGACACCUGCAAGGCCCGUGCCCGCAAAUGUUCCCGCUUCCCCGCCUGAGGACGUUGAGGAGGAACGCUCUAGGACUCGGGAGAGUAAAUUGCUAGUGCUCGCUGCUCCUACGUCACGACCCGACUAAGAUCCCAAAGAUUUACGGCAUCAGGUUCCGGGCUCUGGCAUCUCUCAGCCUCUGACAAGCCUCAGCAGUUGGUAGCCCCAGACCUCUGACAGCUCCAUUCAGUUCUUGGCCUUUGGGAGCUCUCAGUCUGCAGGGUCUCCUGGCCUCUGGCAAGUCUUGGUUUCUAGCAGCUCUUUAGAUGUGUAGUGAAGUUGAAUUACCAUUUUCUCCUUUUUCAAAACUCAAAACAAUUUGUUCUAUAAUAAUAUGGUGCAAUAUUCCAGAUUUCAUUAAAAAAACAUUAUUUUCCCGUUUCAUUCACAUGUAGACCAAUCCUUUCCUGUGAAGUGUUUUUGUUUCAAUUAAAAAUUUUCAAAAACAGUUAUGUACUUUUGUUACUCAUUUUUUGUUCAGUUAUGAAAUAAAUAAAAAUUUAUUUAUUUUUCUAAUAUUUUUUAUAAGGACUCUUUUGGAACAUUAUAUAUCUGUAAGAAACAAUUACUAUGAAUAAUUAGGACUCAUUCUCUCACACACAGAUGCGAUGCACCCAUUUGAGGAAAUAUUUCUAUAUGUAUUUAGAGUACAUAAUAUACCAAUUAUUUUGCAAAGUUAUGAUGAUUAAAAAUAGCAAAAUAAUUACAUAAAGUAUGUAGGAUAGUGUCAGCUUUGGAAGUGAAUUUUAAUUUCAUGUGCACACAAUUAUCUGCUUAAAGAAUGAAA